CCUUGACAUGCAGAGAACUUUCCUAGAGAUGGAUUGGUGCCUUCGGGAACUCUGACACAGGUGCUGCAUGGCUGUCGUCAGGCUCCGUGUCGUGAGAUCGUUGGGUUUAAGUCCCGUAACGAGCGCAACCCUUGUCCUUAGUUACCAGCACGUUAUGGUGGGCACUCUAAGGAGACUGCCGGUGACAAACCGGAGGAAGGUGGGGAUGACGUCAAGUCAUCAUGGCCCUUACGGCCUGGGCUACACACGUGCUACAAUGGUCGGUACAAAGGGUUGCCAAGCCGCGAGGUGGAGCUAAUCCCAUAAAACCGAUCGUAGUCCGGAUCGCAGUCUGCAACUCGACUGCGUGAAGUCGGAAUCGCUAGUAAUCGUGAAUCAGAAUGUCACGGUGAAUACGUUCCCGGGCCUU
rnacentral:rRNA from 1 species